UCUUGUUUCCCUUCAUUCUCUUGGUUUUUUCUCCUCUUUCCUCCCCUUUUUUGAUUUCUCAUAAUUUUGAUAUUUUUGAAACAAAAAAACGAGGAAGAAGAAAGAACAAAAAGGGGUAUCCUUUCCGAAUUCGUUGAAGAGAGGAAACUCGAAACACUUCCUGUGCAGCUAAAAAUAAAGUUUUUUUGUGAAAACUUUUUUGUUCUCAAACGAGAUUGAGAAUUCCUUUCCCAAAAGAAAGAAUA
rnacentral:ribozyme from 13 species